AACAACUUUAAACAAUCAAUUGCAUCAAUUAACAUCGAGUCGAAGGAUUUCUAAUUUUUGGGAUUUCAUACCUUUUCUUACUUUGAUUUCUUGAUUUCUGACUUUGAUGCUUCUGAUUUGUUGUUUGUGGUUGCUGGGCUUUGAUUAUGAGUGUAUGGGCAAGAGAAAUUCGUUGGUAAGAGGUUGGGAGAGUAUAGGAUGAGAC
rnacentral:lncRNA from 1 species